GACGGAGGAUGCAAGUGUUAUCCGGAAUCACUGGGCGUAAAGCGUCUGUAGGUGGUCAAAUAAGUCAACUGUUAAAUCUUGAGGCUCAACCUCGAAAUCGCAGUCGAAACUAUUAGACUAGAGUAUAGUAGGGGUAAAGGGAAUUUCCAGUGGAGCGGUGAAAUGCGUAGAGAUUGGAAAGAACACCGAUGGCGAAGGCGCUUUACUUGGCUAUUACUAACACUCAGAGACGAAUGCUAGGGUAGCAAAUGCG
rnacentral:rRNA from 1 species